rnacentral:rRNA from 1 species
AAAGCAGGCAGAUCCAAUUUUCUGCCACCGAAUACAUUAGCAUGGGAUAAUGGAAUAGGACCCUGUCCUCCUAUUUUCAGUUGGUUUUGGCAGCGCGAGGACUAGGGUAAUGAUUAAUAGGGAUAGUUGGGGGCAUUAAUAUUUAAUUGUCAGAGGUGAAAUUCUUGGAUUUAUGAAAGAUUAACUUCUGCGAAAGCAUCUGCCAAGGAUGUUUUCAUUAAUCAAGAACGAAAGUUAGGGGAUCGAAGACGAUCAGAUACCGUCGUAGUCUUAACCAUAAACGAUGCCGACCAGCGAUUAGGAGACGUUGAAUACAAAACACCACCAUCGGUGCGGUCGUCCUUGGCGUCGGUCUUUCGGGGCCGGCGCGGGGACGGCUUAGCCCGGUGGCACCGGUGA